rnacentral:rRNA from 1 species
AUUGAACGCUGGCGGCAUGCUUUACACAUGCAAGUCGAACGGCAGCACGGGUGCUUGCACCUGGUGGCGAGUGGCGAACGGGUGAGUAAUGCAUCGGAACGUGCCCAUGAGUGGGGGAUAGCCCGGCGAAAGCCGGAUUAAUACCGCAUACGCCCUUAGGGGGAAAGCGGGGGAGUCUUCGGACCUCGCGCUAUUGGAGCGGCCGAUGUCGGAUUAGCUAGUAGGUGAGGUAAAGGCUCACCAAGGCGACGAUCUGUAGCGGGUCUGAGAGGAUGAUCCGCCACACUGGAACUGAGACAGGAUCAAACUCGUCUAGCAUG